UGGGGAAUAUUGCACAAUGGGCGAAAGCCUGAUGCAGCAACGCCGCGUGAGUGAUGAAGGUCUUCGGAUUGUAAAGCUCUGUCUUUUGGGACGAUAAUGACGGUACCAAAGGAGGAAGCCACGGCUAACUACGUGCCAGCAGCCGCGGUAAUACGUAGGUGGCGAGCGUUGUCCGGAUUUACUGGGCGUAAAGGGUGCGUAGGCGGAUGUUUAAGUGAGAUGUGAAAUACCCGGGCUUAACUUGGGUGCUGCAUUUCAAACUGGAUAUCUAGAGUGCAGGAGAGGAGAAUGGAAUUCCUAGUGUAGCGGUGAAAUGCGUAGAGAUUAGGAAGAACACCAGUGGCGAAGGCGAUUCUCUGGACUGUAACUGACGCUGAGGCACGAAAGCGUGGGUAGCAAACAGGAUUAGAUACCCUGGUAGUCCACGCCGUAAACGAUGAGUACUAGGUGUAGGAGGUAUC
rnacentral:rRNA from 1 species